rnacentral:rRNA from 1 species
CCUACGGGGGGCUGCAGUAAGGAAUAUUGGUCAAUGGACGAAAGUCUGAACCAGCCAUCCCGCGUGCAGGAUGAAAGCCCUAUGGGUUGUAAACUGCUUUUAGCAGAGAAGAAAAGCUUUCAUUAAUGAGAGUCUGACGGUAUCUGCAGAAUAAGCACCGGCUAACUCCGUGCCAGCAGCCGCGGUAAUACGGAGGGUGCGAGCGUUAUCCGGAAUUACUGGGUUUAGGGGGUGUAUUAGCGGCGUGGUAAACUCUUGUCGCUUAACUAUAAAAUUGCCAAUGAUACUGGUACGCUUGAAUUGGGUUGAGGUUAGCGGAAUGUGACAUGUAGCGGUGAAAUGCAUAGAUAUGUCAUGGAACACCAAUUGCGAAGGCAGCUAACUGGGCCUUGAUUGACGCUGAGGCACGAAAGCGUGGGUAGCGAACAGGAUUAGAUACCCUAGUAGUC